rnacentral:lncRNA from 1 species
UUUGUGUCAGCUUUGUCAGAAUUCGUCUUCUUGGUCACAGGAUGGCUGCCUGCAACAAAUGGGGAUAUGAUCACUUCCCAUAAUCAUUUUUCAAAAGGCCUGAGUUUUGUGCCAGUUGAACUAUCCCUAACUUAAUCCUUGUGGCCCUCAAGUGCCAUAUACUGAUUGGCAUAAGCCUGGAUUAUAUGCUACAAUCAUUGUGGCAAAUUAAAGGACCCUCUGGAGGUGGGAGUGAGAUCAUUCCACAAAAAGCACAUGACUUCUACACAAUGAUUCCACUUUUCCAGUUUUGCUUAUUUUCCAUCUAUAUAUUAUAUUUGAUGACAGAAAAUAUCAAGACUUUGAUAUUUUUUAACUGGGUGGGUUUUAAAAUUCAUUUGUUUUAAUUUGUUAUACAUGACAGCAGAAUGCGUUUUGAUUCGCAGUACACAAAUGGAGCACAGUUUUUCAUUUCUCUGGUUGUACACAAAGUACAGUCAUACCAUUCAUGUCUUCAUACAUGUUGCUAGGGUAAUGAUGUCCAUCUCAUUCCACCAUCUUUCUUACCCCCAUGCUCCCUCCCCUUUACCCUAUCCAAAGUUCCUCCAUUCCUCCUGUGCUCCCCCCACUCCCAUUAUGGAUCAGCAUCCACUUAUCAGAGAAAACAUUCGGCCUUUGAUUUUUUGGAAUUGGUUUACUUCACUUAGCAUGAUAUUCUUCAACUCUAUCCAUUUACCUGUACAUGCCAUGAUUUUA